rnacentral:rRNA from 1 species
AUUGACCACCAUUCUGUCCUGAACACACCCAGUCUCAUCUGGUUUUAAGACCUAAGCAGGGUCAGUCCUGGUUAGUAUCUGGAUGGGAGACAACCAGGGAGCAGCAAGGAUCUCCAGGU